rnacentral:rRNA from 1 species
UGGCACAGUCAUAUCACCCUGCAGCCUAAGACCGGGUACUCACUAUCACUAAGAAGGGCUGAGCCUGAGCAGUACCUGGAUAAGAGACCACAUGGGAAAACUAGGUCACUAUAUAGG